rnacentral:rRNA from 1 species
GACAGAGGGUGCAAACGUUGUUCGGAAUUACUGGGCGUAAAGCGCGUGUAGGCGGCCCUGCAAGUCGGAUGUGAAAUCCCACGGCUCAACCGUGGAAGUGCAUUCGAAACUGCAGGGCUAGAGUCCUGGAGAGGAAGGUGGAAUGCUUGGUGUAGAGGUGGAAUGCGCAGAUAUCAGGAGGAACACCAAUAGCGAAGGCAGCUCGCUGGGACGAUAUUGACGCUAAGGCGCGAAAGCGUGGGGAGCAAACAGG